rnacentral:lncRNA from 1 species
UUUAAAUGAUGCAUAGAUUUUGUUGUCUUUACGUUUUUGAGAGGAGAAAGUUAGAUGAAAGUUUCACAUUGGCCACAGUGUCACUGAGAGAUGUUUUUCCAUUGGAAGAAGUUGCUUUGCUUGCUGCUUACUAAGAGUGAGGGGGGAAAUUAGCUCAGCUACUUUCAAAAAGAGACGCUGCCUCUUUUUGCUCUCUCUGUGGUUAAUUAAGAUACAUAUUGAAAAGGUAAUACAAGCAGACAAGUUCAAGCAAAGUCGCUAUUAGACAGCAUUAGCAGGGAUUUUGUGACCAUUCGUGGUUUUGAUUGGGAGGGGAUUUGCAAACCAAAUUGUGGUCUGGUGCAGAAGAAGGUUCUGCCAGGGAGCCUGGCUGAUCUCACUGAAUGCUGCUCUGCACAACAAAACCCGCAGUGCUGGGCAUCAGAUGGUGAGAGGCAGAAGGCAUGGUGAAGAAAUCCAAGAUAAUGAUUUUAUUUGUUCAGGACAUUUAAGUUUUUAAAAUCAGCAAAUUAAGACAACAUAAUUAGUUAACAGCAAACUGUAUUUGUUUAGCCUGCAAGUCUGAAGAACUGGCAUCAUUAAAAUAGCACCUGUGGGUUUUGUUUAAUUACCGCAUUUUGGAGAUGGAGGUAUACAUUUUAAUUUUCUGCCUUUUAAAACCGAAGUCAAAGUUUAACAAGUUGAUAUUUAUGAGAGAGGAGAUUUUAAUUUCUUGCACAAGCAAGCCCUCGUCACGAACAGCUCCGGCUUCGCAAAGCUGCUGCCCAGCAGCCGCUAGGUGGCACAGCCCACUCGCGGUUCGCUGCCGCCGCUGCUACGGAGCAGCACCGGGGCUGGGGCUGCUGCAAUCACAGCUGAGAGAAAUGUAUAAACAAGCCGGACAAAUGGCCAGCAUGAGAAAUUGUGAUGGAGGCAAGAAGAUCUUUCAGGUAUCAAGCUGCAGUCUUGACUCCCGCUGGCAAAACGAAGUGGAGGCCUUGAUGUGGAAGAGAAAUAAAUGGUUCUUCCGCACUAGCAUUUUAUUCCUGUGA